rnacentral:rRNA from 1 species
UAACGGCGAGUGAAGCGGCAACAGCUCAAAUUUGAAAGCUAGCCUUCGGGUUCGCAUUGUAAUUUGUAGAGGAUGCUUUGGGUAAAACGCCAGUCUAAGUUCCUUGGAACAGGACGUCAUAGAGGGUGAGAAUCCCGUAUGUGACUGGAAAUGUUAACCUAUGUAAAGCUCCUUCGACGAGUCGAGUUGUUUGGGAAUGCAGCUCUAAAUGGGAGGUAAAUUUCUUCUAAAGCUAAAUAUUGGCGAGAGACCGAUAGCGCACAAGUAGAGUGAUCGAAAGAUGAAAAGCACUUUGGAAAGAGAGUUAAAAAGCACGUGAAAUUGUUGAAAGGGAAGCGCUUGCAAUCAGACUUGUUUAAACUGUUCGGCCGGUCUUCUGACCGGUUUACUCAGUUUGGACAGGCCAGCAUCAGUUUCGGCGGCCGGAUAAAGGCUCUGGGAAUGUGGCCUCCACUUCGGUGGAGGUGUUAUAGCCCAGUGUGUAAUACGGCCAGCCGGGACUGAGGUCCGCGCUUCGGCUAGGAUGCUGGCGUAAUGGUUGUAAGCGACCCGUCUUGAAACACGGACCAAGGAGUCUAACAUCUAUGCGAGUGUUCGGGUGUCAAACCCCUGCGCGUAAUGAAAGUGAACGGAGGUGGGAACCGCAAGGUGCACCAUCGACCGAUCCUGAUGUCUUCGGAUGGAUUUGAGUAAGAGCAUAGCUGUUGGGACCCGAAAGAUGGUGAACUAUGCCUGAAUAGGGUGAA